rnacentral:lncRNA from 1 species
GGAAAUUGUCUUUAUUGCCGAAAGAAAUGUUUACUUAAGGGAAUUACUGGAUCAGUAAUCAUUGAUUCGAAUUCUCAAAGCAACGGUGGCUAAUUACUAGCGAGACACGGGCACUGUGAAAGAGAAAACUGUCGACCUGUAAUUGACAUUUGUCGUAUGAAUUCUAAGCUGUUUGAUUUAAAAUGCACUCAUGCGCACCCGCGGCACUAGAAAACCAGGGAGUUAAAGUCAAAGCAAAUACAGGAUUUCAGUACAGCGCACAAGACGGGAACAAAAGAGGUGGUGGAAGGAAGACACCCACCUUUGGUUUCUCACAUAAAGAGCUCAAUACUCAAAACAGUGAAUCAACGGUUGAAGUUGCAGUGUGUGAAAGGCAAAUGGUACAGUUUAAUACCCGGGGGCAGGGAGGUGCUUUUUUAAAAUUAGCUUUCGCCUCUUCUUCAACCCAGAUCUUUGUGCCUUCGUGCUACCGAUAAAGUUGGCGGUUACACGACAAAACGCCGCCAGGUAUUUCGCCAGGUCUUCACCUUUCAAGCACUAGACACCUGACCGCCUUAGAGGGCCCAGCGGGGGCGGGCCCGGGCGCGAAUCGGAGGCUGCG